UACGGAGGGUGCAAGCGUUGUUCGGAUUUACUGGGCGUAAAGGGCGCGUAGGCGGCUUGGUAAGUCGGGUGUGAAAUCCUUCCGCUUAACGGAAGAAGUGCACCCGAAACUGCCUUGCUCGAGUUUAGGAGAGGAGAGCGGAAUUCCCGGUGUAGAGGUGAAAUUCGUAGAUAUCGGGAGGAACACCCGUGGCGAAAGCGGAUCUCUGGCCUAAUACAGACGCUGAGGCGCGAAAGCGUAGGGAGCAAACAGG
rnacentral:rRNA from 1 species